rnacentral:rRNA from 1 species
ACUCCUACGGGAGGCAGCAGUGGGGAAUAUUGCGCAAUGGGGGAGACCCUGACGCAGCAACGCCGCGUGAAGGAAGAAGGUCUUCGGAUUGUAAACUUUUGUCUUCUGGGAAGAUAAUGACAGUACCAGGGGAGGAAGCCCCGGCUAACUACGUGCCAGCAGCCGCGGUAAUAC